rnacentral:RNase_P_RNA from 2 species
AGAGUCUUCCAGGUAGUCGCUGCCGAUAAAUAUCGGGAGAGGAAAGUCCGGGCUCCAAAGGGCAGGACGCUGGGUAACGCCCAGUUGGCGUAAGCCACAGGCCAGUGCCACAGAGAUAUACCGCCUCUUCAAGAGGUAAGGGUGAAAAGGUGGGGUAAGAGCCCACCGGACGGCAGGUGACUGUCGUGCCAGGUAAACCCCGUCCGGAGCAAGACCGAAUAGGGGGGGAUGAGGCGGCCCGCCGACCUCCGGGUACGGUCGCUCGAGAUGUCUCGCGAGGGAUGUCCUAGAUAAAUGACUACCCACGACAAAACCCGGCUUACAGGAAGGCUCUCCAG